CGCACACACACACACACACACACACACACGCUCACACAUCUGGUCUUACGAGAUAAAAUCGCGGAAAAAAUGGAUCGAUGACAUCUCCAUGUAUCUGAGGCCACGCCUAUUGAAGUCUUAAUGAUUCAAGUCAUUACAAUAAACCUCAGGUUAUUAAGGACUGACCCGAGGAACACACAUGCUUGCGCGCACACGCACAUGCAUACACAUACACACACACACACACACACACACACACACACACACACACACACACACACACACACACACACACACACACACACACACACACACACACACACACACACACACACACACACACACACACACACACACACACACACACACACACACACACACACACACACACACACACACACAUCUGUUCAUGUGAGAUAAAAAUCACGGAAAAAAAAUGUUUCGAUGACAUCUCCAUGUAUCUGAGGCCACGCCUUCUGGUCUUCGGAAGCCUUAAUGAUUCAAGUCAUUACAAUAAACCUCGGGUCAUUAAGGACUGACCUGAGGAACACACACACACACACACACACACACACACACACACACACACACACACACACACACACACAUGUACAAACGAACACACAAUGUCGAGGGGUAUUUAUGGACGUCAAGCCAACAAGCACUUCACAGGCUCUCAAGGUGGUCUCGGGUCAAGAGGUCUCCUGUUCUUGUUUCCCGUAAACAUGAGGACCCCUGUACACCCCUGUAUCAAAUGUUCAUGGUGUAAUAAUUACUUCCCGUUGUCCGCACUCGUAGCUCAUAGGGCGGCCUGCCUUCCAGAGGGCCUUGGGACUGGAUCGAAAGAUAUAUCUACUAGAAACAAUGGUAAGUACUUAAAUGUUUGCGUUACUUUAUAUGAUUGUCAUAAAAAACAGUAGCAGAUGUGGAUGACGGGAGGGAGGUAGAGAGCUGGGCAGCAUGGGCAAUAUCGACUUUAGUCUUUCUAUCUUUUUUCAGAAGAGACGUCGUCGACUAGCUCUGAUCGAUCAGAUGUCGGUUUCUCUCAACCAGACCCCAGCGAUAUUGGAAGUUGUUCUCCACGGGCGGGUCUCAGCGACGAAGCCAGUCAAAACCAAAGGACUAUCUCCGAAGAAGGCGGGUCUGGUAGGCUCAGCCAUUGGCCCUCCUCUUCAACGAUCGGUAGUGGACGAAAACGAAAACAAGCGAAUACAGGAACAAACGACACCUGCAGGAAAAAGCAAGCCCGUCGUGAGGGAUUCUCCCAUCCAAACAGUUCUCCACAGCCAGGACCCAGCGGUUAUAACCCGGGACGG